rnacentral:rRNA from 1 species
AAAGCGUGCGCAGGCGGUUUUGUAAGUCUGAUGUGAAAUCCCCGGGCUCAACCUGGGAAUUGCAUUGGAGACUGCAAGGCCAGAAUCUGGCAGGAGGGGGUAGAAUUCCACGUGUAGCAGUGAAAUGCGUAGAUAUGUGGAGGAACACCGAUGGCGAAGGCAGCCCCCUGGGUCAAGAUUGACGCUCAUGCACGAAAGCGUGGGGAGCAAACAGGAUUAGAUACCCGUGU